rnacentral:misc_RNA from 1 species
AACGGUCUAUACCUGCGGUACCUGCGGAGGGAUCAUUACAAAUCGCGGCGCGGCAGCGGCCGGACGGCGGCCGACAGCGGUCGACGCCUGCGCGGACGCCGCGCCACAUGAGCACGGGGCCGCCCUGUCUCGCGCCCCUUGCAAGAGGGGAGAGGAGGGAGGGGGAGGGCCCCGAUGUUUGCGCUUGCUUGUUUGACAGAGUGGAGGAGGAAAAGGACAAGCAAAGACAACUUUCAGCAA